UUCCUACGGGACGCAGCAGUGAGGAAUAUUGGUCAAUGGGAGAGAUCCUGAACCAGCCAAGCCGCGUGAGGGAAGACGGCCCUAUGGGUUGUAAACCUCUUUUGUCGGAGAACAAAACCCGGGACGUGUCCCGGACUGCGUGUAUCCGAAGAAAAAGCAUCGGCUAACUCCGUGCCAGCAGCCGCGGUAAUACGGAGGAUGCGAGCGUUAUCCGGAUUUAUUGGGUUUAAAGGGUGCGUAGGCGGUCCGUUAAGUCAUCGGUCAAAUUUCGGGGUUCAACCCCUUCGACCCUUUGAAACUGGCAG
rnacentral:rRNA from 1 species